GAAUGAAGUCAGCUGUGAGGCUGUUUAUUUUAAAGAGUAUUAAAUAUCUGUUUUCUACAUUUUAAGCUUCAUGUUUUUCAGGCCAAGGUUGCUUCACUAUAAUCUUUCCAGUCAUUAUGUGGUAUAAAACAUGAACUUGGAUUAGAAAUUACAAAACUAAUGAUUGUCAAUGAAAAAUGGUUGUGCCAUCAAUUAAGUAUGACAUAAUGAUUGUUUUGCAACUACAUUUACAUUUUCCUCCUCUAUAAUUUCACUGCUUCUGAAAUUGGCUAUUCUAUCUCUUUAAUGCAGACCAUUGUGGCCAACUCAGCUGAAAGUUCACUAACACAAAUACAUGUUAAUGUGUGAAUACAUUUUUUUUACAACACAUUAUGUAAAACCGUACAUCAUGUCAUAAUUUCACAAACUGCUGCAUCUUUUCACUGAAUUGUAACAUUACCCAUUUCAAACUAUGCCUUAUCUUAAGUCAAGCUGAACCUAAUGUUAAUACGUUUGCUGCUUGAUAACAAUUGAAUGUUUAUUACAGUGUCAUGUUUUGUUUUUUGACAAUGAAACUCUAAAUGUUUCAUCUCUAUUUUUCCAUUUCCCCUCCUAGUGACUCUACCUUGUGUUUAAGUGCAGACCGCUUGCCAGUCAGUGUAAGUUUAUACAUGAAUGACAUUUUUAUGAAUAUCACUGUGUGCUUUUAUUGUACACAUUUUACACACACCUCUCUUUCUGUAGUUUCUACACAAUUGAGGUUACUUUGGUACACAUGAUAUUUGAUCACAUGCUUAUGAACAUUAUUAUUAAGGCAAUUAACAUUGAUUUAUAUAACCAUUCAAGAUAAGUGGGUGAUACAUCUUUUCGUAAAAUACACUGAGCUCAUACAUACAUUUCUUCAUCUAUUUAGUAACAUUUUAUAUGUUCAGCCCUGAUACAUUUUUCAAAAGAUGAUCAAAUAACAAUGCUCAGUUUCAGCAUUUCACUCAACUACACUUUGAAUAGAUGUGUAUUCAGAAUUCCCAUAUGUUACUUUGAAUGAAAGCACAUUAUAAUGACAUUAGUUUCGGGUGAAUGUCGGUGGAUUUCAAUGUUUUUAUUAUAUUUCAUACAAAUUAUUAAUAUUUAUUUCCAUUUUUCUUACAGAUAUCCUGUACUGUCCCUCCACUCUCUCCUAUCAUUUUGGACAUUCUGCCUUUCUAUCUCUCCUCUAUCCAACUCUGACUAUUUGAACAGCUAUUGCCAGCCUUUACAACCUAUUUUGAAAGCCUUUACCACAGCCUUUGACAGCCUUUAAAAACCGUUGUGAAAGCCUUUAAGAAAGGCUUUGACUGCCUUUGACAGCCUUUCUACCACUUUUAGAGCCUUAAAAAGAGGCAUUCAGACACUUUGAGAACACUUUUUGGAAACAAGCUUUUUUUUUUCAACUGAUCGCGUGUAAAAGCAAUACUUUUGAAACAGCAAAAUCUUUGAAAGUGCAAAAUCAGAAACAUCACAAUCUUUGAAACAGCUGUACUUUUAAAACAACUACUGUUAUAAAAAAGCACUAAUUUUGCACAAGUGUUAUUUUUCUUGUAGUUCUUCCUUUCCAUUGUGUGGCUCUACAGUUUCACCUGAAGAAGUUUCAUCACCAUCACCGCUCCUGCCUCAUUGAUUUUGAGUUUGAAGAAUAUACCUUUCAUAUUUUUGACUUGAAUUUUAUUUUAACAAAAAAGUCCUGACAUCUAAACAUUUGCUAUUGAUUUUUGU
rnacentral:lncRNA from 1 species